rnacentral:rRNA from 1 species
UACGUAGGGUGCAAGCGUUAAUCGGAAUUACUGGGCGUAAAGCGCGCGUAGGUGGUUUGUUACGUUGGAUGUGAAAUCCCCGGGCUCAACCUGGGAACUGCAUUCAAAACUGACAAGCUAGAGUAUGGUAGAGGGUGGUGGAAUUUCCUGUGUAGCGGUGAAAUGCGUAGAUAUAGGAAGGAACACCAGUGGCGAAGGCGACCACCUGGACUGAUACUGACACUGAGGUGCGAAAGCGUGGGGAGCAAACAGG